GACGGGACUUUCGCUUUACGUUGAUGCGUUCAUACCUGAGGGUUGUCAUAAGUUGUUGGAUGUUGUUACUGGGGUAGAAGGUUCAACCAAAUGCGAUUUGGAGGACUCUAAGCUCAGGGCUAUUGCUAUACUUGAUUUGGCUUUUGUCGUUCACGUGAUGUUUGUCUUGCUCAUUGUUACAGUCACGUAUGCUGCCGUUGCUAAAACUAUUGGUAUCAGGAGAUUUGGUUCUUAUGAGGCUCUGCCCAAUGCUGACUCGAGUCAUAUACAAAUGAAGGCUAUGACGGGAACUCAAGCUUGAUUAUCGUUGCAUUAGGUUAUAGGAGGGAGGCGGCAUUCCAAUCAGAUUAGUCCAUCAUUCUCAGCUGUCAUAUCUCAAUCAAGAAGAACAACAAUCUAAAAACGAGCUAAGCCCGCCAAGAAGGUUUCCCAAAACAGAUAUAUAUAGCGAAGUUCGGUUUUGUUUUUGCAGAGUUCAAUCUUGUUGAUGGAGUAGAAGCAGUUUCUUUUGUAUGGACCCAAUACUUUACAUUAGACUAUUUUAUUUGGACAAAAUGUUAUAUGAAAUGUCAAAAGGCAGUAUAAUUCUGGAGGAGGAGGAAGUUUUGGUUCCUGCCUUUUUAAUCUUAUAUAUGCAAUACACACUGGUCAACUAAAAUAUCGUUUAGAUA